rnacentral:rRNA from 1 species
UACGUAGGGGGCAAGCGUUGUCCGGAAUUACUGGGCGUAAAGGGCUCGUAGGCGGCCAACUAAGUCAGACGUGAAAUCCCUCGGCUUAACCGGGGAACUGCGUCUGAUACUGGAUGGCUAGAGAUUGGGAGAGGGAUGCGGAAUUCCAGGUGUAGCGGUGAAAUGCGUAGAUAUCUGGAGGAACACCGGUGGCGAAGGCGGCAUCCUGGACCAACACUGACGCUGAGGAGCGAAAGCCAGGGGAGCAAACGGG